rnacentral:rRNA from 1 species
UACGAAGGGAGCGAGCGUUGUUCGGAAUCACUGGGCUUAAAGCGUGCGUAGGCGGAUGUGUAAGUCAGAAGUGAAAGCCCAGGGCUUAACCCUGGAAUUGCUUUUGAGACUGCAUAUCUAGAAUCCGGUAGAGGUCAGUGGAAUACCCAGUGUAGAGGUGAAAUUCGCAGAUAUUGGGUGGAACACCAGUGGCGAAGGCGACUGACUGGGCCGGUAUUGACGCUGAGGCACGAAAGCGUGGGUAGCAAACAGG